rnacentral:rRNA from 1 species
GCGCUUGAGAGAACUCGGGAGAAGGAACUCGGCAAAUUGGUACCGUAACUUCGGGAUAAGGUACGCCCUUGUAGCUUGACCAGCCUGCGCUGGAAGGGUGAAGGGGUUGCAAUAAACUGGUGGCUGCGACUGUUUAAUAAAAACACAGCACUCUGCAAACACGAAAGUGGACGUAUAGGGUGUGACGCCUGCCCGGUGCCGGAAGAUUAAAUGAUGGGGUGCAAGCUCUUGAUUGAAGUCCCGGUAAACGGCGGCCGUAACUAUAACGGUCCUAAGGUAGCGAAAUUCCUUGUCGGGUAAGUUCCGACCUGCACGAAUGGCGUAACGAUGGCCACACUGUCUCCUCCCGAGACUCAGCGAAGUUGAAGUGUUUGUGAUGAUGCAAUCUACCCGCGGCUAGACGGAAAGACCCCAUGAACCUUUACUGUAGCUUUGCAUUGGACUUUGAACCGAUCUGUGUAGGAUAGGUGGGAGGCUAUGAAACCGGAACGCCAGUUUCGGUGGAGCCGUCCUUGAAAUACCACCCUGGUUUGUUUGAGGUUCUAACCUUGGCCCGUGAUCCGGGUCGGGGACAGUGCAUGGUAGGCAGUUUGACUGGGGCGGUCUCCUCCCAAAGCGUAACGGAGGAGUACGAAGGUACGCUAGGUACGGUCGGAAAUCGUGCUGAUAGUGCAAUGGCAUAAGCGUGCUUAACUGCGAGACCGACAAGUCGAGCAGGUGCGAAAGCAGGUCAUAGUGAUCCGGUGGUUCUGUAUGGAAGGGCCAUCGCUCAACGGAUAAAAGGUACUCUGGGGAUAACAGGCUGAUACCGCCCAAGAGUUCAUAUCGACGGCGGUGUUUGGCACCUCGAUGUCGGCUCAUCUCAUCCUGGGGCUGUAGCCGGUCCCAAGGGUAUGGCUGUUCGCCAUUUAAAGAGGUACGUGAGCUGGGUUUAAAACGUCGUGAGACAGUUUGGUCCCUAUCUGCCGUGGGCGUUGGAUAUUUGAAGGGGGCUGCUCCUAGUACGAGAGGACCGGAGUGGACGAACCUCUGGUGUACCGGUUGUGACGCCAGUCGCAUCGCCGGGUAGCUAUGUUCGGAAGAGAUAACCGCUGAAAGCAUCUAAGCGGGAAACUCGCCUUAAGAUGAGAUAUCCCUGGAGGCUUGACCUCCUUGAAGGGUCGUUCGAGACCAGGACGUUGAUAGGUCGGGUGUGUAAGCGCAGUAAUGCGUUCAGCUAACCGAUACUAAUUGCCCGUAAGGCUUGAUCCUAUAACA